rnacentral:rRNA from 1 species
UACGAAGGGGGCUAGCGUUGUUCGGAUUUACUGGGCGUAAAGAGCUUGUAGGCGGUCUGUCGCGUCUGCUGUGAAAAUCCGGGGCUCAACCCCGGACUUGCAGUGGGUACGGGCAGACUAGAGUGUGGUAGGGGAGACUGGAAUUCCUGGUGUAGCGGUGAAAUGCGCAGAUAUCAGGAGGAACACCGAUGGCGAAGGCAGGUCUCUGGGCCACUACUGACGCUGAGAAGCGAAAGCAUGGGGAGCAAACAGG